GAGAAUUAAGUGAUAUUUAUCAUUGUUACUCUUUUUAAUGUUUUUUUUUAUCAAUGAAAUUGAGAUGAUUUAUCAUGAUUGAAACAUAUCUCACACAUAAAAAUAAAUAAUUCACAUAAAUCCCAAAGAAAGAAUAAUCACCUAAAAAAUAAAAUAAAUAAAUAAAAAAUGAAUGAACAAUAGAGACAUGUUAGUUAAGUAGUAAUUAAAUGUGAGAAUUAAAGAAAAUAUGAGAAAAUCAAAAAUGUUGAAAAACCAAGACCAUACACAUGGGUGUCGAACACAGGACCAAAGAGGAGUUGAGCUACCUCUAUUUCCACCAGGCCAUGACUAACUUACUGUUAGACUUGCAGUGACUCAAAUAUAUAAACAACGUAAUAAAUAAAUAAAUAGAAAAAGAAAAGAAAAAAAAAAA
rnacentral:lncRNA from 1 species